UUGCCCGAGGGGGAAUACGGAGCCUAUGAAAUUAAUGAAACUGAUGUGUUUGUUAUUACACACAGAUCGGCCCUUAACCUUGCAUAUCAAAACUUUUCGAAGAUUCCUCAGAAACCCACUUGCUUGUUGGAGCUCACUGGUUAUGAUAUGUUGGAGCUCACUGGGUAUGAUCUUAUUGGGCUUCCGUUGAGCUCUCCUCUUUCCUGCAACAAAGUCAUAUAUGCUCUUCCAAUGUUAACCAUCUUAACGGACAAAGGUACAGGGAUUGUCACCAGUGUUCCUAGUGAUGCACCUGACGAUUAUAUGGCUCUUCAUGAUUUGAAAGCAAAACCUGCUUUUAGGGCAAAGUUCGGUGUGAAGGAUGAGUGGGUACUGCCCUAUGAGGUAGUGCCAAUUAUUAACAUUCCAGAAUUUGGGGAUAAGGCUGCUGAAAAAGUCUGCUUGGAUCUGAAGAUUAAGAGCCAGAACGAGAAGGACAAGCUUUCUGAAGCUAAGCGGUUGACAUACUUGAAAGGGUUUACAGAUGGAACA
rnacentral:lncRNA from 1 species